GGGCGUUUAGCUCAGUUGGCUAGAGCGCUUCCCUUACAAGGAAGAGGUCACUGGUUCGAGUCCGGUAACGCCCA
rnacentral:tRNA from 1 species